AGUCAAUCUGCCCUGAGGAUGUGGAUAACCUCGAGAAAUUGAGGCUAAAAUGCGAUAGGCCAGGCACGCUGGAAUGCCGCCUGACCCAAAAGGCGCGGUGAAUUGCAGCCGCGUCCGCCUCAGGAUGAGACUGCGCCCGAUCAGGUUGUUGGUGGGGUAACGGCCACCAAGCCGAUAAUCGGUGGGGGCAAUGGGAGUUGGAGCCCCGAGAAGGGCACUGAGACAAGGGCCCUAGUCCUACGGGAUGCAGCAGGCGCGAAAACUCUACAAUGCGCGAAAGCGCGAUAGGGGAACUCUGAGUGCCACACCACGUGUGUGGCUUUUUGUAAGUCUAGACAACUUGCAGAAUAAGGGGUGGGCAAGACCAGUGCCAGCCGCCGCGGUAACACUGGCAGCCCGAGUGGUACCCACGAAUAUUGGGCCUAAAGAGUCCGUAGCUGGUCUGUUAAGUCUUCUGUGAAAUCUCCGGGCUUAACUCGGAGGCGUGCAGGGGAUACUGGCAUGACUCGAGAGCGGGGGAGGUCAAGAGUACUAAUGGGGUAGGGGUAAAAUCCUGUAAUCCUAUUAGGACUCCCAGUGGCGAAGGCGCUUGACCAAAACGCGUCUGACAGUGAGGGACGAAGGCUAGGAGAACGAAUCGGAUUAGAUACCCGAGUAGCCCUAGCAGUAAAUUAUGCAGACUGUGGUGUUACAACAGCUUCGAGCUGUUGUGGUGCCGUAGCGUAGGUGUUAAGUCUGCCGCCUGGGGAGUACGGCCGCAAGGUUGAAACUUAA
rnacentral:rRNA from 1 species